UCAAGGAGUGCAUCACCAUCAUCGAAAUCCAAGCGCAAGCCGUCGACAAAAAGUGCUUCGUGAGUGAGGCUUGCCCUGAUUUGAUUAUACAUCAAAAGUUGCAGAUCUGGGGUGCAGUUUUCUCCUUUUCCAGCAUGUUUCUUUCACUUGCUCUGUUUGCUAAAAGCAAACGGGUGAUGGUGAUGAUGAAGAGUGCAGCUGGAACAGGGACUUGUAAAGUGAUGAUCAGAAACAGAUUAAAACCAAAGAUGAUGAUGGUCAAGUUUGAUCCAAAAG
rnacentral:lncRNA from 1 species